rnacentral:rRNA from 1 species
GACGUAGGGGGCCAGCGUUGCUCGGAAUUACUGGGCGUAAAGGGUUCGUAGGCGGUGCGGCAAGUCGGGAGUGAAAUCUCUGGGCUUAACUCAGGGGCUGCUUCCGAAACUGCCGUGCUUGAGUGCGGGAGAGGCGAGUGGAAUUGCAGGUGUAGCGGUGAAAUGCGUAGAUAUCUGCAGGAACACCCGUGGUGAAGGCGGCUCGCUGGACCGCAACUGACGCUGAGGAACGAAAGCUAGGGGAGCAAACAGG